rnacentral:lncRNA from 1 species
CCUGGGCCACGGACCAGCCCCGCCGACCCUGCGCCCGCCGGGAACUAGCAGCCUGCCCGGGGUGGGCCUGCCCCUCGCCGGGAGUGCGGUCCCCGCAGGCUGACCCCCCGCAGGGUGACCCCCGAGAGACCCCCGAGGACCUCGGCAGCGCGGAGCUUUGCGGAGCCGGGGUGACCCAGGGCCCCGGAGGCGUCCCCAGGGGAGGGCGCGGCCCCCGGGAUGCCGGAGCCGCUGGGCCGCACCGUCCAGCUGUGCGCUGCCGCUCGCGGGGCCGCGGGUCGCCGGGGUCGCAGAGGUCGCUGGGAGCCAGGAGGCCCGCACCGCUGCCCGGCUCGGAGGGUGCACGCGGCUCUGUGUGGGCCGGGCCCCGGAAGCCCUGCGGCACCUGCAGCAGGUGAACCGCCAGCGCCCCUCCGUGGAGGUACAUGGACCCUAUCUUGGUCUCUACCCCACAAACACGUGGCCAAGUGAGUGAGGAAGCCCGCCCACAAGGUUUCGGGCGGUGCUGUGAGCAGAUGGAGGGUUUCUGCAGGAGGAGGCUGUGCCGCAGGUGGAGACUCUUCUCAUCCCAUCAGACGCUUCCAGGAGUAAAACUGCUUGGAAUUCAUGGGCAGGGGGCCAUGUGGCUCCCUGGCUCGCAGGUGCUGUCUGCUGCCUUCAGCUGUCUGUCUGGCCACAGCUCCUCCUCCACGGCCCAUCCUGUCUCCGUGUUGAGUCUAGCCACCCAUGUGGUUCCCAGAGAGACGUGA